rnacentral:rRNA from 1 species
AGAUAUUAGAAAGAAUACCAAUUGCGAAGGCAGCUUUCUGGAUCAUUACUGACACUGAGGAACGAAAGCAUGGGUAGCGAAGAGGAUUAGAUACCCUCGUAGUCCAUGCCGUAAACGAUGUGUGUUAGACGUUGGAAAUUUAUUUUCAGUGUCGCAGCGAAAGCGAUAAACACACCGCCUGGGGAGUACGACCGCAAGGUUAAAACUCAAAUGAAUUGACGGGGACCCGCACAAGUAGUGGAGCAUGUGGUUUAAUUCGAAGAUACGCGCAGAACCUUACCAACACUUGACAUGUUCGUCGCGACUUUAAGAGAUUAAAGUUUUCGGUUCGGCCGGACGAAACACAGGUGCUGCAUGGCUGUCGUCAGCUCGUGUCGUGAGAUGUUGGGUUAAGUCCCGCAACGAGCGCAACCCUCACUUUUAGUUGCCAUCAUUAAGUUGGGCACUCUGAAAGAACUGCCAGUGAUAAGCUGGAGGAAGGUGGGGAUGACGUCAAGUCCUCAUGGCCCUUACGUGUUGGGCUACACACGUGCUACAAUGGUAUCUACAACAGGAAGCAAGACUGCGAAGUUAAGCAAAUCCUUAAAAGAUACCUCAGUUCGGAUUGCACUCUGCAACUCGAGUGCAUGAAGCUGGAAUUACUAGUAAUCGUGGAUCAGCGUGCCACGGUGAAUGCGUUCCCGGGUCUUGUACACACCGCCCGUCACACCAUGGGAGUUGGUUCUACCUUAAGGCAAGGUUUCAAACCCUUGACCACGGUAUAGUCAGCGACUGGGGUGAAGUCGUAACAAGGUAGCCGUAGGGGAACCUGCGGCUG